rnacentral:lncRNA from 1 species
GGUGGAAACCCGCUCAGACAAAGGCUGACCCCAGCCAGGCUGACUGGCCAGCUAGCCCACCCCCACCCCCCUGCGGCAGGCAGCUUGGCAGGGCUGAGCGCCAGCUCCUCGAUCCAAACCGAGUUCCCACCGAGCGUGCUUAAUGCACCGGCGGUGACAUUUCUGCCUUCAGAGGCAAAAACAGGAACCCGGCCAUUUUGAUGAAGGGCGCCCAAAGUGCAGACGGUAGAUGGAGGACCAGGAUCCGACUCCUGCACCCCCCACCCUAACCGCCCACUCUCCCCUCUGCCCAGUGCCCAAGCCAGAGGGUCACAAAACUGGGGUGGCCAAACAGGGAAGAUGCUACAGAAACCCCCACCUUCUUGUAUAGGUGGGGAAACUGAGGCCACAGCGCUGAAACUAGCUAGAUCUGGAGAAUGUUAAAGGAGGGACUGAGAAAAGCACCGGGGCGGAUGGCCUGAAGAAAGUCCAGUGCACCGUCUCCAUGGAAACCGCGGAGGAGGUCACGGUAGCUGGGCCCCCGCGCGUCACCCCGCGCCUCGCCGGCUGCAGGCGCCCGGAUUGCGGCCUCCCAGGCGCCGCGGCCCGCGUGGACUCCACUCCAAGUUCCCCGCCCCCGCUCUACUCCGCCCGCGGCUCAGGCCAUGUGACUCUGCCGGGUCCAAACCCAGAAUGGCGCACCUGGGCACCAGUGCGCUAGGCUGUGCCUCUGUCCCCGGGCUCUGGCACGCGGGAAUGCGCCAAGAAACACGUGCCCAGCUCCAAGUCGGGAACAUGUGUGGCCAGACGCCGCCGAGGGGCUCAAUGCACUUGCGAAUGCCCUGGAAGAUCGACCUAUAUUGGCGCACAACUCCAGAGCUCUUGCUAAAACGAGACCGCCCGUGGUUAACGCCGGCUCUGGAGUCAGCCGAAUCCCGCCUAGGUAACUUAGCUAUGUGACUUCAAGCAAGUCACGACCUCUCUGCGCCUCAGCUUGCACAUCAGCAAAGCGGAAUUAGUGUGAGGCCUCAGACAAAGUACGUCAAACGCCUAUCACUGUGUUUGGCACGUGGUUCUGAAAAAUGGUAGCUGUGGUUGGGGUUAUUUUUUCCCAGCUGGGAAAGCCAAAGCCCAGAAGGCUUCGCUCAAGAGUGCGGUCAGCCUGAAGGCUGGGAGUUACACCUUGGGAGCUCCCCAGCACCUCAGCCUAGACGCAAAGGCGGGAGGUGAGGGCACGCGUGCCAGCGGCCUAGGGCCUGGGGCGCGGCGGACGGGGUUGGAGCCUCCCGAGCUAGCCACAUCCGCACCCGGAACCCUGGAAAGGGGGCUCCCCGCGGUCUCUCCACCCCCGCCCUCACCCCCGCGCCAGCACCAUUAGCAACAGGCCAGCCUGCCCUCCCUCCCAGGGCUGAGGCCGCACCUGCCCCACCGGAUGGCCGCCCCGGGGCCAGGCCGUGCCCCCCACCGCGCACACUUCCUCCGCCCGCCCCCCCCCAGCGCCCCGUCGAGUGCGCAGGGGGAGGGGAGCGGGCCGCCCCCGCCCCGCCAGCUUCCCACAGCCUGAGCUGCCCGGAGCCGGGGAGGCAGGAAGUCUCAGAGCCGGGGCGUGGAGGCGGGGUAGGGGCAGGAAGUUGGGGGUGACUCUCCCAGAGACCCCAGACGGGGCCCCGGCGUGGGAGCGGGGUGGGCGGGCGCGUAGGGAUUAAGGGUGCCCCC